rnacentral:hammerhead_ribozyme from 1 species
AUCCAGCUGACGAGUCCCGAAUUGGACGAAACGCGCGUCAUGGAU